rfam:Medicago truncatula strain A17 chromosome 2, whole genome shotgun sequence.
AUAUAAGCAAAUUUUACUUUUUAGAUUCAUUCAACUAAUGAUGUAUGUGGUCCAUAUUAUGGACUACAUACAUCAUUAAUUGAAUGAACCUAAAAAGUAAAAUUUGCUUAUAU